AAAUUGAAGAGUUUGAUCAUGGCUCAGAUUGAACGCUGGCGGCAGGCCUAACACAUGCAAGUCGAACGGUAACAGGAAACAGCUUGCUGUUUCGCUGACGAGUGGCGGACGGGUGAGUAAUGUCUGGGAAACUGCCUGAUGGAGGGGGAUAACUACUGGAAACGGUAGCUAAUACCGCAUAACGUCGCAAGACCAAAGAGGGGGACCCUCGGGCCUCUUGCCAUCGGAUGUGCCCAGAUGGGAUUAGCUUGUU
rnacentral:rRNA from 1 species